GAUGCCUGGGUCUGCGCAAAGUUCUCCGGAACACCAGCAGUAUAAGCAGUGCAAAGAUAUUAGAAGCAAGUAUCACCUGACAAAGAUGACCUAUGUGCAUCAUACUGCAGCAUGUCUACCACCACAAUUCUCAGCAAAGCUUGAGCGGCAUCGAAUAAAUUGUGCCCCCAAUUAUGAUCCUCGGGCACAGUAGACAAGAGGUCUAAGCAAAUACAGCAAGUUGAUUCAAAGCUUCGUUCAGGACUCCGAGUCCUGAGUGUGAGUCACAUCACACAGGCAAGGACGCUGUCACAAGGUACAAUGGCACCCAAAGAGAACUUGUUUGUUGAUGCUGCCAGCACGUCAGGUUGACCCUUCGCCCGGUUAGGGCUGUAAGGUUGUCGUGUGCUUAAGCAGACCCUCCACAAUAUCCCCAUUGAGCCCAUUCCUAUGCUUGUGCCUCCUGAGAGAACAGCAACUGCAUACCUGCGCACACAAAACUGGAACCUCAGUUGUCAUUGUGGAACAUGUAUUUGCUCGCUUAAGUACAGCUUUCAACUUGAAACAUCCAAGCACGAAGCGCAGAAGCCCUGCUGUGCCCACACAUGACCAUCACACCACAGGCAGGCGUCAUUUCAAAGAUAAAUAGCAGCGGCCUUUGGCAACCGCCUAGGGUAGUCAAUAGGUAGGGUAGGUAGGGUAGUAGAGCGGUACAAUAGCUGAAUUGGAGCAGCGUGUCUCAGCUUUGAAAGCAAACAAGAGGAAUUCACCCGUGUAAUUGAUCGCCAGAGCCUGUUGCGCCAGCUGAUGCGAUGGCUGCGAUUCUGAAUUUUGUCAAGUCGCAGCCGCGCGCAGUCAUCCACCGUGCAGAUGGUAGCCAGGUACAGGGCACUGACCGCCGAGACGCCUGUGUUGGCCGCCACUGUGAAGAUGAUGAUCAUCUGAUACCGUGCCGCCUG
rnacentral:lncRNA from 1 species